CGAAAUGACUUUUUUUUUCUUCUUUUAUUAUGAUUGGGGUUCGUUGAGCGCUGCUGAAGGAAAAAACAACCACUAUAAAUAAUUUUCUCCUUUACCUCACAUAUAUGGUGAAAAUGUUCUUAAAAAAAGUAGCAAAGAAUAAACUGAAAAUAAAGAAAAGCAGAUAGCAUGGAACUCUAUGAUAGAAAAGUCAUGAACAUGAUAUGAAAAGGAAAAAAAAUGUUUCACCACCUCAUAAUUGAGCUUAAAACAUCAAAAAUAUAAAUAAUAUAUGGUUCAAGAAAAAUAUAGGAAUGCAACGUUACCAGUAGAAGAGAAAGAAGAUAAGUAACCAACUUUGAGAACUUGUGCCAAACUUCCACAACUGCAGCUUCCUCUAUGCAAAUGUUUUGUUGGAAUUUCCUAUUAAAAUUAAUAGUGGCAUUUCAAGAUUGUCUGUCUGAUACAAAUUAAAAAGAUGGAUCCUUUAUAAGUUUCAACUAUUUAAGUUCUCUCAGAAAAUACCAAAUGUGGAGAAAAACUCAAAACAAAUCAUUGGUUUUUCCUCUUUCUCCCCAAACAAUGUUAAUCAAAGGCCAGCAAACAGUCCUAAAAGAGGACCUCUUUUUUCCUUUAACAAUAAAGAACAAGGUAAAAAUGAAACAAAAAAAAGAGUAUACUAGGACUAGUAGUGUACUAUAUCAACCCCACAACCACCCUCAAAAACUACAAAGAAAAAAAAAAGAGAGUAAAAAGACAAUGCAAAAAGUAAGAUGUUUUGCUUGCAUGAGGAAGAAAAGCAAGAUUUUUACUCAGAACUCAACACCCAAGAAAAGCUCAGAAAAUUCAGAAUCC
rnacentral:lncRNA from 1 species